GGCGGCGUGCUUAACACAUGCAAGUCGAACGAGACAUUAAAAGACUUUGCUUUUAAACGUUCGAGUGGCAAACGGGUGAGUAACGCGUAGACAACCUGCCGCAAAGAUGGGGACAACAGUUCGAAAGGACUGCUAAUACCGAAUGUUCUGGAAGUUCCGCAUGGAAACUCCAGCAAAGAUGGCCUCUACUUGUAAGCGAUCGCUUUGCGAUGGGUCUGCGUCUGAUUAGCUAGUUGGUGGGGCAAGGGCCUACCAAGGCAACGAUCAGUAGCCGGUCUGAGAGGAUGAACGGCCACAUUGGGACUGAGACACGGCCCAGACUCCUACGGGAGGCAGCAGUGGGGAAUCUUCCGCAAUGGGCGAAAGCCUGACGGAGCAACGCCGCGUGAGUGAAGAAGGUCUUCGGAUCGUAAAGCUCUGUUGCCGGGGGACGAAUGUAGGCAAUGCAAACAGCAUUGUGUAAUGACAGUACCCGGCGAGGAAGCCACGGCUAACUACGUG
rnacentral:rRNA from 1 species